CCUCGGGAUGAAAAGUGAGGAAGAAAGUGGCGAACGGGUGAGUAACGCGUGGGCAACCUACCUCACGGAAAGGGAUAGCCUCGGGAAACCGGGAGUAAAACCAUAUAAGACCACAGCGUCGCAUGACGCAGGGGUACAAAACUCCGGUGCCGUGAGAUGGGCCCGCGUCCCAUUAGCUAGUUGGCAGGGUAAAGGCCUACCAAGGCGACGAUGGGUAGCCGGUUUGAGAGGGCGAACGGCCACAUUGGAACUGAGACACGGUACCAAACUCCUACGGGAGGCAGCAGGUGGGGAAUAUUGCGCAAGUCGGGGGAAACCCUUGACGCAGCAAUACCGCGUGAGCGAAGUAAGGUUUUCGGAUACGUAAAGCUCUGUUAUCGGGGAAGAAGAAGUGACGGUACCCGAUGAGGAAGUCCCGGCUAACUACGUGCCAGCCGCCGC
rnacentral:rRNA from 1 species